CUGCAAACCAAAUUUUAUAACGAAAUCAAUGUAUUUACUUAUUACCAGUUUUUUACCAAUUAAAAUAAAAGAAAACAUUUCUUUUCAUCAAAUACAUAUUUGUUUUUAGUUUUAAGAUCUGUAGUAAAUCCACGGAUAUAACGCUGGAAUUUAUUUAUUCAUUUAUUUGCUCAUCCAAGGACCAUUUCACAAUGUUGUAGAAAGUAUCAUGGAAAUAAAACGAAAAUCAAUGGCUCAAAGUAUACACGUAGAGAAUAUGCAACUAUGCCUUAUGAGGAUAGGGCAAUUGAUUGGAGAAGUGGUAAACUAUGGAUUUGAUGAGGGAAUCAUCUGGGAAUUUGCCGGAAAUUAUUUAGGAGAAACGCGGAAAACCUGAGUGAUGAUGGCAAGACAGAGCUGACUCCAUCUUCUCGAAUAUGAGGUGCUGACCUUAGUGAUCCUGGGAGCCGUGGCCACCGCCAGGGGCGCUGCGGUGCCCACCACAGCCAACCCCUGUCAAGUGCAGCAGAAAGAAGAGCCUGUGGACUUAGGCAACAUCGGAGUGUUUGGUGUGAACUUCGGUGUCAGAAGUUUCAGCCCAACUGUGAAUGUAAACAAUACCAGCUACCUUCCGAGUGACACCUACUAUUCUGGAUAUAAACUCAGCACUGAACAUUCUUCUGUCAUUGAACCCACCUUCAGAUAAUGCUCUUGAGGCGACUCCAGCACCUACUGGGAAACUGUUGACCCCUCUGUGUGUGUUUUCUACCUGUACCUGUAUUACUCAGCUCCCAGACGUCCAAACAGAUGAUCAGUUCUACAACGUCUUCUGCAGGUGUGUGUCUGAAGGGAUGUACAGUGUGCCUCAAUAAAAUCGCGCCACAGCCAUGAUAA